GUCAGAAUGCACCGCCCAAUUAUGGAAGAGGAAUACUGAUGCUGUUGGUGUUUCUUCAUGGGUGUUGGGAAGAACUAUUGAGCUGGACAGGCUACUUACUCUGGAUUCAAAGAGAGAGACAAGGUACAUGCAGAUGAUAGGGUAUGCUGAGGAAAAUAAUGUGGCUUUCUUGCGGACUGCUGCUGGUAUCUUCAUGGUCCAGCUUCACUCAUUGCAGUUCAAGAAACUUCUCGAAAACAACAACAGUGUUACCUGUUAUCCAUUAGAAAGUGUCUAUGCUGCAGAAACAAGCAUUGGUGGUGGACAUGAUGGAGCUGAUCAACACAUGCUAAUGUAAUGGUUGAGCAGGCAAGCUUAUCUUAUGAAUGUAUCUAGAGUCACGUUCCGGUGGCUGAGAUGCAGAAGUGGCUUGUUUACUGGGAUCGAGACAAGAUGCACCGACCACCGAGUGAGCUGUGGUGUGGACUUGUAGGAAUUAAUCGCUUAUUUUGCCCA